rnacentral:rRNA from 1 species
CUGCAGCCCGAGUGGUGAUCGAUUUUAUUGAGCCUAAAGCGUCCGUAGCCGGACUAGUAAACCCUUGGGUAAAUUGGGCAGCUUAACUGUCCGAAUUCCGAGGGGACUGCUAGUCUUGGGACCGGGAGAGGUCAGAGGUACUCCAGGGGUAGGGGCUAAAUCCGAUAUGCUUUCGUGGCAUUCGGUUAGCAUUCCUGUAAUCCUUGGGGGACCACCAGUGGCGAAGGCGUCUGACUAGAACGGAUCCGACGGUAAGGGACGAAACCCUGGGGCGCGAACCGGAUUAGAUACCCGAGUAGUCC